rnacentral:tRNA from 1 species
GCCUGGGUGGCUCAAUCGGUUGAGCUUCUGACUUGGGCUCAGCAUGAUCUCACGGUUUGUGGGUUCAAGUCCUGCAUCGCGCU